GUUCGCCGCGCGGGGAGGGAAGCCCAGAGGGAAGCCGCUAGGCUCUCGGCUGGCGCCAGCCGGUGUUCUCCGUUCAUCAGCUCGCUUAGUUCUCACAACAGCCCUGGGCGAUAGAGACCCUUAUAGUCCGUCUUCACAGAUAAAGAAAUAACCACCUUUUCUUGCUGAUCCAGGAAAAUCCAGAACAUUUUAUCACGAACAAAAAAGCCACCAAAAGCCCAUACAAGGCUACUAUAAAAAGAAAACAGAAAAUGAAGACUUUUCAAUUAAAAGAUACUACACUCUAGAAAAUAUGAAGCAGAGGAAAACUGCAUACAACAUUCUCAAUAUUAAUUAAAUAUCAUUAAAUAUACAACUGCAGAUGUGAAAGGAUGCAACAUAUACAAGGUUUAAAACCCAGCAGGAAUAUGUGAACUGAGAGUUGAUCAAACUCAGCCAAUAUACUGAAAAAAUAAAAUCAUCUAAAAAAAAGAAUACUAAAUUACAGGGUUUCUAAGAGAGAACAGAUAUAAUAAAGGUAAGAAACAUGGGGGAGAAGAAUAAAUCAGCUACAGCAACAACAACAACAAGAACAAAAAGCAUCAAAGAGAAAGUGACAGCAAAAAUUAUCUGAGCCUCCAGGCAAAAGCCAACAACAAAGCUAAUAUUUCCAGGGGCGCCAGGCUGACUCGGUGGAGCAUGGGACUCUUGAUCCUGGGGUUGUGGGUUCAAGCCCAUGUUGGGUGUAGAGACCACUUAAAAUCUUAAAAAGAAAAACUAACAUUGCCAAAGGAGACAGAUAAGAAGUGGUGCCAGCCUGACACUAAAACCAAGCAAUACAAUAGCGGAGCAACAUUCUCCAAAAAACCCAAGAAAGUUUGAGCCAAGAAUUUUAUAUCCAGUCAAGGUGAACUUAAAGUAUCCAGGUUCCAGGAGAAAUUUUAAACAUGCCAGAACUUGAGGAACAGUGUGCCUAGAUGCUCUCCCUUGUGUACUUUACUGGAAGAGCUUUAUCCAGCCAUGAGUUGACUGGGGAGGAUUCAGCCAAAGUACUAGUGGAAGCACGCCUGGGUGGCUCAACGGGUGAAGCUCUGACUUCGGCUCAUGGUCUCGUGCUCUGUCCACUGAAAUGGUCUAAAAGGAAACAGAAUCCAGAUUCCAUUCCCCCUAAAAGGAAUAGGCUCUUUGAAGAAACAGCUGAUAUUCCAGGUUUGAGACAGCACAAGUACAAGGUUGGCCUGGGACAUCUUGUGAUUGAAGGAAGGAAGAACUCAGAGACGAACGUGGUCACAUCUAAAAGAUACAGGAGCUGGCCUGCAGUGACUUCCACUUCCACUGGCUGUUGGCUCAGAAUAUCAAAAAGAACUGUGACUGUAUUGAACAUUGAAUACAUCGAAUAAUUUGAAGACAUAGAGAUAUUUGAAAAAAGAGGGGGCAUUGGGAAAAGGGAAAUAGUCCUUUUUAAAUAGAAGAAUAUAAACUAAUAAAAGUAGAAAAAAAUUAGAAAAUUAAAAAAGUUUAAAUCUCACCAUUUUGCACAUCAGUGUAGUGUAAUAAAUGAUUCAGUUAAGAAUCAUCAGUUGAUGAGGGGCACCUGGGAGGCUCAGUAGAUUGCGUGUCCAACUUCAGCUCAAGUCAUGAUCUCACAAUUUGUGAGUUUGGGCCCUGAGUCAGGCUCUCUGCUGUCAAUGCAGCUUUGGAUUCUCUGUCCCCCUCUCUCUUUGCCCCUCCCCACCUCAAAAAUAAACAUUAAAAAAAAAAAAGAUAUAUUAAAAAAAGAAUCAUCAGUUGAUGCUAAAGUUAUUGAAUAAAAGACUGUUAGGAAAAGAUUAUUCCCAUGGUGUCAAAACAUUGCCUUAGAGAUUACUAAUUACUAAGCAGGAAAAAUGACUUACUGUGGAAAGAUAUGGUAGUCAACACCUUGAUCAAGUGACUGAUUAUCACUUUCAUUAGUGAGAUAAUCUAGAAUUAUGUCUUCAAUGUGAUAAAACGUAAAAUCUACAAGAUCACCUAUGAAAUAUUCUCCAAAAACAUUUAGCCUAAAGCUAAUCAAACCCACAGACUCCACUUCCAGUUCAGAGGAAAUGCAAAGAAUAAAAGGAACAAAUCAAAGAAUACAGACAGAUCAAGGACAGAAACCAAGUGAUUUACAUUCUUCAAAAAGUCACAUAAUGGGGGGGUAAAAAACCAAGGGGGUGCAGGGAAGAAUCUUUGAGACUAAUAAGACAAUUGAAUACAAAAUAUGAACCUCAAUUGCUUCCUGGUUUAAAAACAAAAACCUGUGAAGUCAUUUCUGAGACAAUGGGAAACAUCUGAAUAUGAACUCAGAUGAUAUAAUCAAAUUAAUUUAAACAUUUCUAAGUGUGAUAAAUUGUAUUGAGUUAAAUAGGAAAAUGCCCUUAUUUUUAGGAUAUGCAUGCUGAAGUAUUUAGGAGUAAAGUGUCCUGAUAAAGCUAGUAUGGCAAAGUGUUAGUAAUGUUGAAUUUAGGUGAGAGUAAUUCUUUCAGUUUCUAUGUAUGUUUGAAUUUUUUCAAAUUGAAAAGCUGAAGAAAUUUAAAUUGAAAAAAGAGUCUCUGGGGCACCUGGGUGGCUCAGUCAGUUAAGUGUCCGACUUUGGCUCA